rnacentral:rRNA from 1 species
UACGUAGGGUGCGAGCGUUGUCCGGAAUUAUUGGGCGUAAAGGGCUCGUAGGCGGUUUGUCGCGUCGGGAGUGAAAACUCAGGGCUUAACCCUGAGCCUGCUCCCGAUACGGGCAGACUAGAGGUAUGCAGGGGAGAACGGAAUUCCUGGUGUAGCGGUGAAAUGCGCAGAUAUCAGGAGGAACACCGGUGGCGAAGGCGGUUCUCUGGGCAGUACCUGACGCUGAGGAGCGAAAGCGUGGGGAGCGAACAGG